NNUUCUUGAAUGACAGGAGCACUUAAUGGCACAGUUUUAGGUGAUGAAUUGGAUGGCUUCAGGAGGGGGCUGGUCACCAUAAAGACCAAGCCCUGAUGAGAAACUUGGACCUCCCAAUGUGGUCCUCUGGGACUGCAGAUUGAGUAAGCGGGAUGGAUCAUGCCUAGGUGAUGAGGCCUUCAUAAAAAUCCCUAAAUAUGUGGAAGCUAAAAAGUUGACCUUAAAGAAGAGGGUGGAAUAGUGGCAUCCUCAUCCUGGAAGAGUGUAGGGAGAGGUGGGAAGGGAAGGUCAGUGGGUACUAAGGAGAUGUUGGGCGGAGGAGUAAAUAUUCUGUAGCACAUUAGGAUAACCAUGCUGACAGAAAUGGAGAGAACACUUCAGACAGUCAGCAGAGAGGGUUUGUGUUGCCAACAGAGAGAAGACACACGUCUGAGGCCAUAGAUUGCAUUGUUGGACAACCUAAUCAAAUGUUUCAAAUUGAAAAAAUUAAUUUUUUUUUUGAGGGUCUGGGGAUGUGGCUCACGUGGUAGCGUGCUUGCCUAGCAUGUGUGAGGCACUGGGUUCGAUUCCCAGCACCACGUGAAAAUAAAAUAAAGAUAUUGUGUUCACCUAAAACUAAAAAAUUAAAUAUUUAAAAAAAUUUUUUUUGAGAUAAUUGUAGGCUCAAAUGAAAGAUCUCAAACUGUAUUGAUUCGAAAGGGUCCCUGAUCUAAUUCCGACUCCCCCAGCCCCACCUGUGCUGAGUGUGUGUUAACUUCUGCACAGUUGGGUCCCCCAGGCAGGUCUAGGUCCCUAGUGGUCCCUUUGUAGCCACUUCCUGCUGGGUCACAAACCCUGGACUUCAGCUCAUCUGUUUUUCAUUUCUAAAGCCUCAUUUAUAUAGAAUCACAUUAUAAAUAACUUUUGGUGAUUGACUAUUUUUGCUCAGUAUAAUUUCCUGGAAAUUUAUCCACAUUACUGCUUGUGUCAAUAGUUGUUUCCUUUUGCAUACUAAGUACUAUUCCAGGUAGAUUUAGCCAUUUCCCUACUGAAGUAUACAUGGUUUGAUUCCAGUUUUGGUCUAUCAUAAAAUUAGCUGGUAUCAACAUUCAAGUACAGGUUUUGGUGGGAAGAAAAGUCUUCAUUUCUGUGGAAUAAGUGCCCAGGAACACAACCACUGGGUCAUAAGGUAGUUGCAUGUUUAGUUUUUGAAGAAAUUGCCGAGCUGUCAUUCACCAGCAGUGUGUGAGUGAGCAAGUUUCUCUACAUUUUUGUUAAUGUUCAGUGUUGUCACUGUAUUUUAGUCAUUUUAAUAGCUAUGAUACUUUAUUGUGCUUAUUUAUUUAUUUAUUUGUACCAGGGAUUGAGCCCAGGGUCACUUAACCACUGAGCUAUAUCCUCAGCCCUUUUUAUUUCUUUUUAAAUUUUGAGACAGGGUGUAGCUAAGUUGCUGAGGCUGACUAUGAACUUCUGAUCCUUCUGCCUCAGCCCUCCUGAAUUGCUGGAAUGGCCAGUGUGGGCCACAGCACCCAGCUUUUUACCCCUUUUAAAAAUUGGAUCAAGUGUUUUUUUUUUUUUUAUUAUUAUUGUUGGAUUUGAGGCCUUUCUGUAACAAAGGGUGUGUUUAGAGUCAGGGUCUCACUGAGUUGCCUAGUGCCUCGCUUUUGCUGAGGCUGGCUUGGAACUCUUGAUCCUCUUGCUUCAGCCUCCCAAGCUGCUGGGAUUAUAGGCAUGCACCACUGUGUCCGGCAGGUUUUAAAUUUUAAUGAGGCCCCAUUUAUCAAUAUUUUAUUUUACAGCUCAUGCUUUUGUUGUCAAGUCUAAGAAGUUUUUACCUAGUCCUAGAUCUUAAUGUUUUUUCUAGAAGGUUUAAAUAUUUGGAGCUAAUCUUUGAGAGCUACUGAGGUCAUGGUUGUCCUCCCCAUCCCUCUUCUCUCCCCUCUUCCUACUUCUUCUCUAUACAUGUUUGACUGCCCCAGUAUAAUUUGUUGAAAAAACUUCAUCCCUUGAAAUGCUUUUCUGUGUUUGUCAAAGGUCAAUUGGAUGAACUUGUGCAGGUUAAUUCUGGGUGUCUCUUUUUUUGCAUUGACCUUUGUGUAUAACUCUUCGCCGACACCUCACAGUCUUGGUUACAGAGCUAUAAUAAAGAACAUAAAGUGAUUCUUCCUACUUUGUUCAUACUCUUAAAACUGUUUUAGCUAUCAUUCCAUAUACAUUUUAGAAUCAACUUGUUUGUGUCUACAGAAAAUUCUUGUUGGGAUUUUGAUGGAAAUUGUAUUAAGCUUGUAUAUCAAUUUGGAGAAAUCUGGAAUUUGUACUAUUUUGAGUCUUCCAAUUCAUGAACAUGGUAUGUCUCUUCAUUUAUUUAGACCUUUGAUUUCUUUUUAUUUUUGUUUUGGUAGCAGGGAUUGAACCCAAGCAUGCUAAACUACUGAGCCACAUCCCAGUCCUUUUUAAUAUUUUAUUUAGAGACAGGGUUUCUCAAAGUUGGCUUAGGUCCUUGCUAAAUUGCUGAGGCUGACUUUGAACUUGUGAUCCUCCUGCCUCAGCUUCCUGAGCCACUGGGAUUACAGGCAUGUGUCACUGCACCCAGCAAUACAAUUGAUUUUUUUAAAUGUUUGCUUAUGUACUGAGACCUGCUGAAUUUGUCUGUUAGUUCUGGGAGUUUUACUGGUGGUUUCUUUAGGUUAUUUAUAUAGGUACUAACGUCAUUUGCAAAUAGAGACAAUUUAAUUAUUUCUUUUAGAGGUAAAUGCCUUUUUCUUUUCUUUUUCUUUUUUUUUUUUUAUUACACCAGCAAAUGUUUCCAGAACUAUAGUAACAGUGUAGGGAGUGAAAUCCUUACAUUCUUCCUGGUCUUAAGGGGAAACUGUCAAUCUUUUGCCCCUAAAUAUGUGAGAUGUAGGAUGUUUGUAGAUCACAUUGAAGCUAUUCACCUCUUCUGUCUCUGUCUCCCCCACCCCCAGGUACAUGUCAGGUAUGUGCUCUACCACUGAGCAGUAUAAACCCAAAGCCCAAUUCCCCUCUUUUCUCAGUUUUUAUCUUGAAUUAAUGUUGGAUUCUGUAAGGUAUCAAUUAAUACCAGUUUUUUGUAUCAAUUAAUAUGACCAUGUGAUUUUUCUCCUCUGUUGUUAAUAUGCUAAAUUACUUUAAUUUAUUUUUAUUAUUGAACCAGUUGUGAGCCUCAGAAUAAACCCCAUUUGGUUAUAGUGUAUGAUUCUUUUUAUAUCAUAUUUAGAUCUACAGUAAUAUUGUGUUAAGAGUUUUUUGUGUGUAUACUUGUUGAGAGCCACAGCCCAGUCUGGAUGAUGCCUGGCAUUUUUGCCAGAAGGAGUGGUUGAAAGGUGAUGCCAGGGAGCCAUUAAGAUGAUGAUAAUUAAGUUAAGCUGUGUAUAAUUGCUGUGACUGGAUGAUGCUGGAUUGAAACAGGCUGUGUAUCCAGUUGUAUAUUAGACUCCUGCUGUCCGGCAAUAGGGCGGCUCCUGCUGCCUUGGGCGCCCCCUACUUUUGAGUUCUGAGUUCUCGUUGAGUUCCAGUUGAGCUCUCGCGGGGAUUCCUGGAGAGUUCGCAUUGGUUGGUGAGGUUCCAGUGGAGGGAGUUCUGGUUGGGGUGUGGUGUUCCUGAAAGGGCCACGUGGGUGGCCUUCACAGGAGUUCAGGCAAAAAAGGAGUUCCUGUUUGAACCUACAAGUGCCUUGUGGCAGCUUGGUUAUUUUGUGCCCAGCUAGAUGGCGGCAUAUGGUGGCCCGUACGGGGAUCAAACCCGCGACCUUGGUGUUAUCAGCACCAAACUCUAACCAACUGCCAGGCGUCAUCCCAACUCGGCUGUGGCUCUCAACAUCUACUCAUAAGUGCUGUUGGUUUGUAGUUUUAUUUUUUGGUACUGUACUGAUUUGGUUUUGUUAUUGGAAUACUAGCUCCAUGAAAUGUGUUGGGAUGUGUUCCCUUCUUUCCUAUUUUUCGAAAGAGACUUUUUAGGACUCAUGUUUGUUCUUAUUCAAACAUUUGGGAAAAGUGUUCAAUGAGACCACUCAGACCUGAAGGUAGGUAGGUUUGUUCAUUCCUUUCUCCUUUAUUUCCUUCCUGCCCUCCCCCUCCCUCCCUCUCUUUGUUUCUUUCUGCCUUAAAUUUAUGGAUUCAAUGUCCUUAAUAGUUGCAUGGCUCUUAAGUUCUCUAUGUUUUUGAUGUAUUGCGCUAGUUUGUGUUUUUUUUGUGGGAUUGAUUCAUUUCACCUAACUUGUAAAUGUAUGUGUGCAGAGUUGUUCUGUAGUAUUACCUGAUUAUUGGUGUCUGUAGGGCCUGUAGUGGUAUUUCUUGUUUCAGUCCUGAUACUGGUAAUUUUUCUCUUCUCUGUCUCUCUCUACCUGCUCCCUUUUUUGUGUCAGUGUUCUUCAGAGAAACAGAACCAAUAGGAACCAACACUUGCAUCUUCACAUAUAGGCAUAGGUCUGUAUGUCCACUGCCAGCUCUCUUUAUAAAGAUAUGGAGACAGAGAUGGUGUUUGGGGGUUGCUGGGGACUGAGUGAGGGCUUUUCAGGUGCUAAGCACACACUCCACCACUGAGCUACAGCCCAACCAGAGAGAUUUAUUUAAAAGAAUUGGCUUAUGCAAUUAUGACUUGCUGAAUCCACAAAUCCAAAAUUUUUUUUCAGUACUGGGGAUUGAACCCAGGUGUGCUUUACCAUUGAGCUACAUUCCUACAUCCCAAACCCCUAGAAAAAGAUUCUUAAUGCAGAAGCUUAGAUUAUUGCUUUCAGACAUAUCUUCUUUUCCAAGAUAUGCAUUUAGUGCUGUACAUUUUCCUCUUACCACUGCUUUGGAUUUCUCUAUAUGUUGUAUUUUAUUUUAAUUAAGUUCAAUAUUUUCAAAUUCCUCAUGUCUUCUUUUUUGAACCAUGGAUUAUUUAGAAAUUUGUUGUUUAGUUUCCAAGUAUUUGGAGUCUUUUUUUGUGAUCUUUCUGCUAAUGGUUCCUACUUUGAUUCUUGUAUGAUCAGAUAACACUUUGUGUUGUUUCAUUUCUGUUAAAUUUGCUGGGGUGUAAUCUGUGAGCCAGGGAUGUCUGUCUUGGUGAAUGUGCUGUGGUUGCUUGGUGAGCCUGGACUCUGCUGUCAUUGGUGUUGGAUCCUGUGGUUGACAGUGUUGCAGAUUUCUUUGACGUCUAUUAACUCUCUGUCUAGUAGUCCAAUCCUUUCAGUUGCUGAGACGGGGGCAAAAAAAGUCUCCAGCUGUCAUUCCAGGUUUCUCUGCUUCUUUUUUCAGCUCUUUGAGUUUGUGUAGUUUUAGGUCCGUGUUUGGUGCAUACCUUUGUAGGUUAAUCCUUUUUUUAUUGUCCCUCUUGUACCUAGUAAUUUUUCUUUGCACUAAAGUCUAUUGUACAUGAUUUUAAUACAUAAUAAAUAAAAAUAUGUGCAUUAUGAUUUGGGAA
rnacentral:lncRNA from 1 species